rnacentral:rRNA from 1 species
UACAGAGGGGGCAAGCGUUGUUCGGAAUUACUGGGCGUAAAGAGCUCGUAGGCGGUCUGUCGCGUCGGAUGUGAAAUCCCAGGGCUCAACCCUGGGCCUGCAUUCGAUACGGGCAGACUAGAGUUCGGUAGGGGAGACUGGAAUUCCUGGUGUAGCGGUGAAAUGCGCAGAUAUCAGGAGGAACACCGGUGGCGAAGGCGGCAUCCUGGACCAAUAUUGACGCUGAGGAGCGAAAGCCAGGGGAGCAAACGGG